rnacentral:lncRNA from 1 species
GAAUCACCCACCACGACUGCACCAGAGUACAGAUUCAACAAAGGCGGCAAACCAAGGCGAACCUGGAAAAUAAAGAGUUACCAUCUGAGGCUUAUCUGGAAACAACCACAGUUAAGCACGAAGUGUGAUAAGAAGACUUACAGGUAUUUUUUCCGCAAUGAGCUUUCGAACGGUCUCACCUUUUGUUCUCAGCUUUGUGUCUGAUCCUGAUGCUAAAUCAGGAUGCAGAACAAGAAAUUUACAUAUACUUUCAAGGUAUGGGUUCAAGAAGCCACCAAGCUUGUCUACAACAGCCUCCACAGCAAUGAGAAUUGAAAGCAAGAGAUCACCAGGACUAAAUGAUCUACUAGAAGAAUCAACCUCAACUUCUCUUUCUG